UUGAACGCUGGCGGCAGGCCUAACACAUGCAAGUCGAACGGUAACAGGAAGCAGCUUGCUGUUUCGCUGACGAGUGGCGGACGGGUGAGUAAUGUCUGGGAAACUGCCUGAUGGAGGGGGAUAACUACUGGAAACGGUAGCUAAUACCGCAUAACGUCGCAAGACCAAAGAGGGGGACCUUCGGGCCUCUUGCCAUCGGAUGUGCCCAGAUGGGAUUAGCUAGUAGGUGGGGUAACGGCUCACCUAGGCGACGAUCCCUAGCUGGUCUGAGAGGAUGACCAGCCACACUGGAACUGAGACACGGUCCAGACUCCUACGGGAGGCAGCAGUGGGGAAUAUUGCACAAUGGGCGCAAGCCUGAUGCAGCCAUGCCGCGUGUAUGAAGAAGGCCUUCGGGUUGUAAAGUACUUUCAGCGGGGAGGAAGGGAGUAAAGUUAAUACCUUUGCUCAUUGACGUUACCCGCAGAAGAAGCACCGGCUAACUCCGUGCCAGCAGCCGCGGUAAUACGGAGGGUGCAAGCGUUAAUCGGAAUUACUGGGCGUAAAGCGCACGCAGGCGGUUUGUUAAGUCAGAUGUGAAAUCCCCGGGCUCAACCUGGGAACUGCAUCUGAUACUGGCAAGCUUGAGUCUCGUAGAGGGGGGUAGAAUUCCAGGUGUAGCGGUGAAAUGCGUAGGGAUCUGGAGGAAUACCGGUGGCGAAGGCGGCCCCCUGGACGAAGACUGACGCUCAGGUGCGAAAGCGUGGGGAGCAAACAGGAUUAGAUACCCUGGUAGUCCACGCCGUAAACGAUGUCGACUUGGAGGUUGUGCCCUUGAGGCGUGGCUUCCGGAGCUAACGCGUUAAGUCGACCGCCUGGGGAGUACGGCCGCAAGGUUAAAACUCAAAUGAAUUGACGGGGGCCCGCACAAGCGGUGGAGCAUGUGGUUUAAUUCGAUGCAACGCGAAGAACCUUACCUGGUCUUGACAUCCACGGAAGUUUUCAGAGAUGAGAAUGUGCCUUCGGGAACCGUGAGACAGGUGCUGCAUGGCUGUCGUCAGCUCGUGUUGUGAAAUGUUGGGUUAAGUCCCGCAACGAGCGCAACCCUUAUCCUUUGUUGCCAGCGGUCCGGCCGGGAACUCAAAGGAGACUGCCAGUGAUAAACUGGAGGAAGGUGAGGAUGACGUCAAGUCAUCAUGGCCCUUACGACCAGGGCUACACACGUGCUACAAUGGCGCAUACAAAGAGAAGCGACCUCGCGAGAGCAAGCGGACCUCAUAAAGUGCGUCGUAGUCCGGAUUGGAGUCUGCAACUCGACUCCAUGAAGUCGGAAUCGCUAGUAAUCGUGGAUCAGAAUGCCACGGUGAAUACGUUCCCGGGCCUUGUACACACCGCCCGUCACACCAUGGGAGUGGGUUGCAAAAGAAGUAGGUAGCUUAACCUUCGGGAGGGCGCUUACCACUUUGUGAUUCAUGACUGGGGUG
rnacentral:rRNA from 1 species